AAACACAUCAUGCAUUGUAGCUCCUGGAGGCAGUUGUAAUCGAUAAGCAAUAGCACCAAUUUUAUGAAUGACCUUGUAGGGACCAUAAUAUCUAUGAUGCAGCUUAUUAUAACUUCGAGAAAGAGAAUGUUGCACAUAAGGUUGAAACUUAAGAAAGACCAAAUCACCUACUUGAAAUUGCCUCUCAGUUCUAUGCUUAUCUGCCAUUUGCUUCAUUUAGUCAAAUGAUGUUUCAAUAAAGCAAUAGCAGCCUCCCGAUCCCUCAUAUACAAAUCAACAGCAG
rnacentral:misc_RNA from 1 species